GCAUAGCUUCAUCUGCCACACACACAUACUCAGAGGCCCAAGAAACUUAAAAAAGGAUGAAUACCCUUCUCUCUGUCUUUGUUUUCCUUGUUCCCAUCUUCCUUCUCCUUACCAAAAGGAUAAGUUCAUCAAAGAAACUCCCUCCAGGUUCACUAGGAAUUCCCAUAAUAGGCCAAAGCCUUAGCCUUCUCCAAAACAUGAGAGGCAAUACUGCAGAAAAAUGGCUUGAGAAAAGGAUACAAAAAUAUUGGUCCCAUAUCAAAGAUGUGUCUUUUUGGCAAGCCAACUGUUUUCUUAUAUGGGCAGGCUGCAAACAAGUUUGCGUUCGCCAGCGAUAGCAGCAUUCUGGCCAACAGUCAAACAGAAUCUGUUAAGACUAUAUUGGGUGAUAGGUGCUUGCUGGAACUGAGUGGCUGAGAUCAUAAGCGUGUCAGGGAUGCUCUUAUGUCCUUUUUGAAGCCUGAAUCGCUGAAGCAGUAUGUGGGCAAAAUGGAUCUGGAAGUUAGGUUGCAUAUUGAUGAGUACUGGCAAUGCAAGAAGGAGGUCACUGUCUUACCCUUGAUGAAGACACUCACAUUCAAUAUAAUCUGCACUCUUCUAUUUGGAAUUGAAAGAGGAGCUAGAAGAGAUAAGCUUGUGGAUUUGUUCCAAGAGAUGAUAGCAGGAAUGUGGUCAAUCCCAAUUAACUUGCCCUUCACUCGCUACACCCGCAGCAUCCACUCAAGCAAGAGUGUUCGGAACAUGCUGAAGGAUCUUAUAGGUGAAAAGGGGAAGGAACUCCAGGAAAUGGGUUCUAAUCCUCACCAAGAUCUCAUCACUUGCAUGCUUAGCAGUCGCAAUCCGAACGAUGUUGAAGAAAUAAGCGAGGAGGAGAUUGUGGACAAUAGUAUGCUUGUUAUGACUGCUGGACAUGACACUUCAGCGGUUGUGCUCACUUUCUUGAUAAGGCUUUUAGCUAAGAUCCUUCUGUUUACAACGCUGUUCUUCAACGUAUGUGUCUGAAAUAUACAUUUUGUUGCUCGUCCUGGUUUGAACUCGGUUCCAUUUAGUAACAGGAAAACAAUAAGUAUCGCUUUGCGAUAUUGGGUUGCAGAACAAGAAGAGAUAGCUAAGGGCAAGCACAGGGGAGAGUCUUUAAUCUGGGAAGACAUUACCAAGAUGAAGUACACUUGGAGAGUUGCAAUGGAGACAAUGAGAAUGUUCCCUCCUAUCUUUGGUGGCUUUAGUCAAGCUGUAAAGGAUAUAGAGAAUGAUGGAUACAUUAUUCCUAAAGGGUGGCAAGUAAGUGAAACCCUCAAUUCUGUUGCAUUUUUAAGUACUUUUUUGAAGAUCAACUGGAAACAUAAAACUGAUAACCCUCGCUAUCUAUGAUUCAGAUAUUCUGGGUUACGAGCAUGACUCAAAUGGACGAUGGCAUAUUCCGGGAGCCUCAGAAGUUUGAUCCAGCCAGAUUUGAGAAUCCAUCUUCAAUUCCACCCUACUGCUACAUUCCAUUUGGAGGGGGACCUCGCAUAUGUCCAGGAUCCGAGUUUGCAAAGAUUGAAACCCUUGUUACAAUCCACUAUCUGGUCACUCAAUUUACAUGGAAGUUGUCUUCUGAUGACUGCUUCAGUAGGGAUCCAAUGCCAGCUUCAACUAAAGGAUUGCCCAUCCAAAUCGCACCAAAGAAACAAAUGUUUUAAAGUAUCUUGAGCCUCCUGAUACAAAGUUGACUUUUGCAAGCUAAAUAGGAAUGCAUUUUAUGAUAAAUCGAAUUAUCGAACCAAAAUAAAUUGAUUCUGUUCAUUUCAAUCCAUCGUUUUCUUAACAUUUCAACAACCG
rnacentral:misc_RNA from 1 species